UUCUGUCCAAGGGAGGAAGCCUGCGGAGCAAUAUCCCAGCAAGACUUCUCCAUUCCUAGUUCCAAUUUCUCCCCACCAGGACUUUGGAUGGAUGGAGACUCAUGAGCUGGAAGCACUGAAAGUUCUAGAGGAGGAGAGCCUGCUCUGCAUGGGAUCCUGCCCUGCAUUGUGUGUUGUAGGGACCGGUGAAAAGAAUGAGGAAUGGUUGUUCUCCCCCAUCAGUUCAUGAAAUACUUGAAACAAGGUUGGAGAAGAGGUGGAUCCUGUGGAAUUUGGGCCUGAUCUGUGGCCCCUCAAGGGAAGGCUGACACUGGGCCAGAUGAAGACACCUGUGCCUCAUCCCAGCAGCUAAGAAGUCGUUGAACCAGCGGGCUGGAGCCCACCUCCCUCGGUCUGCCCAACAUCGAGCCUGGCAGUAUCAGGGCACCACCCCUGGAGAGAAGCACCCAGGCCCCUGGCUACCUACAGGACCUCUCCUCAUCUAGUUCCUACUGAAGAGCUCACAGAUCACACAGAAUACUCUGGUCCUGCUGAAGCAGCAGAUUUUAUUUUUCAGUAAUCUCUACACCCAACAUGGGGCUCGAACUCACAACCCUGAGAUCAAGAGUCACAGGCUCUACCGACUGAACCAGCCAGGAGCACCUGAAAACUCAUUUGGCGGCACUUGGGUGGCUCAGUAGGGUGAGUCCCAAUCCCAUAGCCCCUGCAGUGUCCUUGCAGGGGGCCGGAGCUGGAGGAUCGACAUACAUAGAUUCAUAGUCCCCAUUCUCACGGAGGCGCUCCUGAGUUUCCCAGACAGCCGCAGCAGCCGCACAGCCUCGGAAGUAUUGGUGUCACCCAGGACGCAGCACCAGGCAUCUUCUCACCUUGCCCUUGUUCUACUCAGAAUCUCUGGCAACUGUUCAAGGUCUUCUGCUUGUACUUCCUGACGACAAUCCUCCUUUGGGGUGAUGAAAGAGGUCUGGGAAGUCCCUUCCUAUUUACCGAGGAAGCAUGGUCUUGUCUCCUGGAAACAGAAUCCAUAGCCUUUCUGUGAUGGAAAGUGCCAUAGGUCAGAGGUCCCACCGUGCCACCUACUCUCAGAGUGACAGGGGUCAGUUGCUUCUUUUGUAUGCGCCCAAUUUCCCCACCUGUAAAAUUAAGGGACCGAGAUGCAUAGUCCUCUGUCUCUGAUAGUCUGGACAAGUGAAGGCAGCCUUGUGUUCCUUUGGGAAGGCUCCAAAACUAAGCUCUAGACUUCUCCUCAAAGAUGUGUAAUGUCUGGUUGGUGUUGCCUCUAACUCCCCCCCCCCCCCGAGUGUGCCCAACUAUGAGGAACAAGUUGGAAAUGGAGAACUUUGGUGCUGAGAAGAUGUCAGGUAGAUUGUUUGAUGUAUAACAAAGUAUGCAGUGGAAUUAGACAUUAGCAGGGCUUUUUCUUUUCCUUUAAAGCUGAUAAAAAUGACUACUUUGAAAGGGCCAUGUUAUGGGCAGACUAAAUGUAUAUUUUGAAAGAGACCACUCAGUACUUCCACUGGUCAUACGGGAAGAGAAAGACCUUCUCUCUCUGGGCUGAGGGUGUUGUGUGUCAUGGAGAUUCCUGGGGAUUGGGUCAGGUGAGGGUGGACAGCCAGAUGAAGGAUGCCCCAAGAGGACCCUAUCUUUGGAAGAUACCUGGGAACCAGGAGAAACGAGCAUUACAAGGGAUUCUGCAGAAAGGCUGAGCCUGGGAAUUCUCUGAGGAGAUGUGUGGAGCAGCAGUGGAGGAGAGAUUCCUGCUUGUGGAAAAAGGGGCCAAUGGGAGAGCCAGGUCUUCGGGCAGGGGACCCCACAGCAAUGCUCUGGCAGGGCUCAGCCCAGCCACCAGCAGAGAGAUGCCCUCACAAAGACAUUGGGCAGAAGCAGCAGCACUGCUGUGGCCGAAGACGAGUGAGGAGCCUGUCUGGAAGCUUGUCUGAAGCCUGGCUCCAGAGCCCAUGAAGGAUGGCACUUGGGAACACCCUACAAACAUCAGGGAGCAGACCUUCAGAGAGAGACCGGAUUCCCUGCAUUGAGAGGGCAAGGGCUGGGGUAGAACAGGAAGUGGUCCUUCCUUUACAACUAGAGGGCUGGCAAGACUGGAGUCGUGAGAGCUGCUCCUCAUAGCAUUUACUCUGCAGCACACAGAGAUACUGCGCAGAACAGGGCAAAGAGCCGAUUACAAGAGCAAAAUGUAUGGGAUCAUUACUUCUGGUAUAUUUACGGAACUGCUGCUGUGGUUAUCAUCAUUGCUAAUGAUCCAUCAUGGGAAUGUUUUCAUGACCUGUGGCCCAAUUUACAUGGAUCCUUUUGUUGACUUCUGCUUCAUAACUAGGAUACCAUUGUCCAGGCCUGUCUUUCACAUUUGUUGGGCCCAGGCCAACAGUGCAAAUGGAGGCCGACAUACUUAAAUAUUAUAAAUUCAGCUAACAGCAGUGUGAAUUAUUUAAUAUUGCAAAAUGCUCCUUAGCCACCAUACAUAUGCAACUGGUAUGAAUGCAGCACUAAUUAGUGACAGCACCUGGAACACACGUGGGAUCACAAAGAGAAGCAAAAAGUGGAUGCUCAGCACUAGUGGGAAAUUAUAUUCUGUUGUGCAAGAAUCUAUUGUAUUCAUGCUCUCUGAGAGCAAGGAUUGGGUAAAUCCAGUGUGUUUAUCUCAGCAGACUGCCCACCUCCCAAGCUGCCUGCCUUUAGCCAUCAGCAAUCACCUUUGUUUUGAGACUACAGAACAAAGGGUUUGGAAUUGUUUGCGGGGGCAGGGGACUCUCAGUGGUGCUCAUCAAGAGGGUAGAUGUUUACUUAAGUUUUGUGCUUGUAAUGUGUAGGGUGCUCAAAAGCAUGGAGUCACUUUGUUGGGUCAGCAUUAUUUUAUUUCAUUUUAUUUCAGUUUUGACUUUAGAUACAGAAAUUUUAGUUCAGCAUACUCCUCAGUUCAUGGUACAACGCAAACUUUGGUGAGUCCAAGGGCCUCUUAAUACUGAAUGUGAAAUUCAGAGUUAGUUUUUCAGAGAACUAUCAAAUUAGACUAAAUGCACUGCUAAGAUGAUGGUUUGCCUCUAUUUAGAGAAAUUCGACCUAAAAUUAAGACAGAUUCAGUUUAACUCUUACAUUUUUUUUUGUCGAAACAGGUUUCAGGUUUUCUCUUUAAUAUCAGAUAAUAAGUGAUUGAGGAUCAGAAGGAUCAAUACCACUGGAUGUAGAUAAGUGUGUAUAGAGGCAGGUGUCUAGGUCCCCAUGAGGAAAAUACAGGGAACUAAGGAAAAGGUGCCAGACUUGUAGGCUGGGCUGCCUGUGUGUGCGGAGCAUGUGGCACAGCUCAUCCUUCAUCUCCAUCACUGGCUUGACCCUUGUGGCUAUCCUGGCAGUCAGCCACUUCUGGUCUCCCUGGCCAGCACGCAUGGGCCUUCCAAUCCCUGUGUUUCCUGCCCCCAGCUGUUCAUUCAGCCAUUGUAGCUAGGCACCAUUCGAGCCUUGACAGGGUUUCUGGUAUCCCCUCAAGCCCCAGGGGCCUGCAUGCCCUGUGUGCCCACCUCCCCAAUCUUAUCCCUACUGUCUUUCCUGGAGGCCAAGGCCCUGCUUGUGGAAGUUCUCCCUUGGCUGUUGACUGCAGCAGUGGAGAAUGUCCCUACGAGUGAGAGCACUACCACAAGCUGGCCUUGGGUGGCAGCCAUGGGAGUGUGCAGCUCACCUUCCCUUCAGGAGGGAGCCAGUCGAUAGGAGCUUCCAGCUGUAGCGCCCUCUGGAUCUGUGUCUGUGUUUGAACCAUGGCCAUACUUUCCCAGGCAGCAACAACCAAUGACUAUGUCCAGUGGAGGCACUAGGACCUGACAAUAUCUGUCCAGUGCAGGACUCCUCUAAUGACCAAUCUGUGUUCUAGAGCUCCCAAUUAGGCUGGCCAAGAUUAUCCUGGGGCUGUACAGCUCUGAGGCUCUUCCUAUUUAAUUUUCCUUCCACUCAUCUCCUUUCACAGUGAUCAGAAAUGCACUGUGGUCUGAAGGCUCUCGCUGCCAACUCCUGUUCAUUCCUGCCUGUUCUCCUUCACAGUCAUCUCCCCAAGUGAAUCUCUUGCACUGCCAACUCCAUCUCAACAUCUGCUUCCUGGAGAAUCUGAAGAGACAUAACUUGUGAGAAAGUCUGUGUUAGAGAAACCAUAUGUGGCUUUUCAGCUGUUGGCAGAGAAGGAGAAAAUUGCUUUAAGGGAAGGGUGAGCCAACAGUGGCCUUCCCAGAACCACUUGUCUAUAAGAACAUGGCUUGAACAGAAAAUAAAAUGGAGAAAAUGUGGGGGCCCCUUGAUUUCUGUGCUUUCCUGGGUGUAGCCUCUUUUCUGUACAAAGUAUAGGAAGUUUGGGAUCCAGGUCUCGUACUCAUCUCCUUCCUUUGCCAUCAUCCUCUUCCUCUCCAUCCUCCCCACCACCUGCAAGGGCUUUCAAAAGGUGGGGUGCAACAGGGAAGAAACUGGCACCGAAGUCCUCUUUUCAUUUGGCCAACCUUCCUACAUAU